rnacentral:lncRNA from 10 species
AAGGAUGUACAUUAGUAUAUUAUUAUGAUUUUAAUUUGUACUUCCUUGAUGAUUAAUGAUAUUAAGCAUAUUUUCUUGUGCUUAUUGGCCAUGUGUAUAUCUUUUAUUUAAAAAUAAAUGUUUGUUCAAAUUUUUUUUUAGAAGGAGUCUUGCUCUGCUGCCUAGGCUGGAGUGCAGUGGCACAAUCUCAGCUCACUACAACCUCCACCUCCUGAGUUCCAGGGAUUCCCCUGACUGAGCUUCCUGAGCAGCUGGGAUUACAGGCACCUGCCACCAUGCCCGGCUAAUUUUUUUUUUCUUUUAGUAGAGACGGAGUUUCAUCAGGUUGGUCAGGCUGGUCUUGAACUCCUGACCUCAAGUCACUCAGGAGUCGAGGCCUCCUACCUCAGCCUCCCAAAGUGAGCCACCACACCCAGCCUGUUGUUGUAUGUUCUUAUUCAUGCAUUCUCCAAUGCAUAUGUAUGUCUAUUUGUAUGUAAUACACACAUAUCAUUGAAAUUGCAUUUUUUAUUUAUAAUUUUUAAAAAUAGAAAUUGAAAAUAAUGAAAUAAAUCUAAACUUUUAAUAUUUUCCUCUUCAUGAAUCAUUCUAUGAUUUCAUACUCAGAGAUACAAUCCAGGAUUCUUAAAUUUAAAUUAUAUUCUGGAAUUAAGCCCUCACGUGUGAGUGUUACAGUAGUGAAAUUUCAUGCAUUAGAUUUCAGAACAAUCAGUAGAGGAACUGUGUUUAUUAAUAAUUAGACUUAUAUUUAGAAACCGUAUGUCAUAAUAAUAAAUAAAAAUUUCUUUUGUAAUGACACAAUGAAUUAACAGUAAAACUGUCCUUUAAAAAUUUCGAACAUCACAUACUCAAUUUUGGCCAAUCUUUAUUUGUUGCUUAAAAAAUAAGCAUUUCUACACUGCUUUACUCAAAACCACCACAGAGUUGUGAAAAGAAUUGCUGUGCAUUUCUCAUGAAAAUGUUUGGAUACCCCACCACGCACAUCUGUACAAUUCUCAUAUUUAUAAUCAUUCAUAUUCAGAAUAGUAUGUGCCUUCUAAGUAUGCCAGUGAAAAAUAAAAUGAUUACUUUUCCUCAAACGUUCAGCAGGCAGUCUAAAUUAGCCAGCUGGUCUCUUGUCAUGGCUGGAAAUAUAUAGCUUUUUAUAAAAAGUGACAGUAAAUAUGUCUAUGGCCCAGUUACUUUAUAUGCAAGUGGAAAUUCCAUCAGUGCAAUGACUUAUGAUUGGAGAAGAGCAAAAAAGUGUAUAAAGAAAGAGAAGCAAUGAGAAUAGUGUUUCAUGUGCCUUGCAGUGGCUCACAAAAAAAUAACUCAUUUUUAGGAAGUGAAAUCACCUUGUUUUAUGGCUAGGCAGUAAUCUCAAGGUCCACUUGUUAAGUUUUUUUUUAUUAUUGAAGAUUCAGAAGUCAUUUAAAAACAUGACCUGUUAGAACAAUUCAAUGCACCAAGUCUAUUUGGAAAAAUUGUGUGGUAAAUCAUGAUUCAUUAUGCAAUUGUGAUCAGCACACAGUGUUAUAAAUUCAUCUAUCUUGACUGUAUAGUCCUUUCCAUGCAGUUUCUUUAUACAGUCUAUUAGUCCACACCCCACAUUUAUUUAUUCUUCUUUGCUUGUUCUAUUUUGUUAUAUUAUUUUUCUGUGUUUUAUGUUUUGCUCUAUUUUAAACUAUUUACUUUGUUUAAACUAUUACUCUAUCUGAAACUUUUUAUUGGUCUGUCUUUUGUAAUCUAACUUGUGUCACCAAUACCAUAAAAUGUAUGAUAGGAACAAAAUGCCAUAAUAAAUAAAACUAUCUGUAUCUGCACCAAUACUCUGGGCUUUGAGUCCCUCACAGAUCAUGAAGUAAUAAACAAAUGCAUUGCCG